rnacentral:rRNA from 1 species
AUUGAACGCUGGCGGCAGGCCUAACACAUGCAAGUCGAGCGGUUGAGGGGAGCUUGCUCCCUGAUUCAGCGGCGGACGGGUGAGUAAUGCCUAGGAAUCUGCCUAUUAGUGGGGGACAACGUUUCGAAAGGAACGCUAAUACCGCAUACGUCCUACGGGAGAAAGCAGGGGACCUUCGGGCCUUGCGCUAAUAGAUGAGCCUAGGUCGGAUUAGCUUGUUGGUGAGGUAAUGGCUCACCAAGGCGACGAUCCGUAACUGGUCUGAGAGGAUGGUCAGUCACACUGGAACUGAGACACGGUCCAGACGCCUACGGGAGGCAGCAGUGGGGAAUAUUGGACAAUGGGCGAAAGCCUGAUCCAGCCAUGCCGCGCGUGUGAAGAAGGUCUUCGGAUUGUAAAGCACUUUAAGUUGGGAGGAAGGGUUGUAGAUUAAUACCUAGAGAUAGUGGACGUUACUCGCAGAAUAAGCACCGGCUAACUCUGUGCCAGCCGCCGCAGUAACAC